rnacentral:rRNA from 1 species
CGGUGGAUGAUGUGGAUUAAUUCGAUGCAACGCGAAGAACCUUACCUACCCUUGACAUGUCCGGAACUUGCCAGAGAUGGCUUGGUGCCCGAAAGGGAAUCGGAACACAGGUGCUGCAUGGCUGUCGUCAGCUCGUGUCGUGAGAUGUUGGGUUAAGUCCCGCAACGAGCGCAACCCUUAUCAUUAGUUGCUACGCAAGGGCACUCUAAUGAGACUGCCGGUGACAAACCGGAGGAAGGUGGGGAUGACGUCAAGUCCUCAUGGCCCUUAUGGGUAGGGCUUCACACGUCAUACAAUGGUCGGUACAGAGGGUUGCCAAGCCGCGAGGCGGAGCCAAUCCCACAAAGCCGAUCGUAGUCCGGAUUGUUCUCUGCAACUCGAGAGCAUGAAGUCGGAAUCGCUAGUAAUCGCAGGUCAGCAUACUGCGGUGAAUACGUUCCCGGGUCUU